GCUUCGGUGGCUCAGCGGUAGAACGCUCGCCAAGAGUGCGCGUAGUCCGGGGUUCGAUUCCCGGCCGGCGCA
rnacentral:tRNA from 1 species